CCUACGGGUGGCAGCAGUCGAGAAUCAUUCACAAUGGGGGAAACCCUGAUGGUGCGACGCCGCGUGGGGGAAUGAAGGUCUUCGGAUUGUAAACCCCUGUCAUGUGGGAGCAAAUUAAAAAGAUAGUACCACAAGAGGAAGAGACGGCUAACUCUGUGCCAGCAGCCGCGGUAAUACAGAGGUCUCAAGCGUUGUUCGGAAUCACUGGGCGUAAAGCGUGCGUAGGCUGUUUCGUAAGUCGUGUGUGAAAGGCGCGGGCUCAACCCGCGGACGGCACAUGAUACUGCGAGACUAGAGUAAGGGAGGGGGAACCGGAAUUAUCGGUGUAGCAGUGAAAUGCGUAGAUAUCGAGAGGAACACUCGUGGCGAAGGCGGGUUCCUGGACAUUAACUGACGCUGAGGCACGAAGGCCAGGGGAGCGAAAGGGAUUAGAUACCCGUGUAGUC
rnacentral:rRNA from 1 species